AGAGUUUGAUCAUGGCUCAGAACGAACGCUGGCGGCAGGCCUAACACAUGCAAGUCGAACGGAUGUAGCAAUACAUUAGUGGCGCACGGGAGAGUAACGCGUGGGAAUCUACCUUUUGGUUUGGGAUAACAUCGGGAAACUGGUGCUAAUACCGGAUAAGCCCUUCGGGGGAAAGAUUUAUCGCCGAAAGAUGAGCCCGCGUAGGAUUAGCUAGUUGGUGAGGUAAAGGCUCACCAAGGCUUCGAUCCUUAGCUGGUCUAAGAGGAUGAUCAGCCUCACUGGGACUGAGACACGGCCCAGACUCCUACGGGAGGCAGCAGUGGGGAAUAUUGGACAAUGGGGGCAACCCUGAUCCAGCCAUGCCGCGUGAAUGAUGAAGGCCUUCGGGUUGUAAAGUUCUUUUGGCGGGGACGAUGAUGACGGUACCCGCAGAAUAAGCUCCGGCUAACUUCGUGCCAGCAGCCGCGGUAAUACGAAGGGAGCUAGCGUUGUUCGGAAUUACUGGGCGUAAAGGGCGCGUAGGCGGUUUUGCAAGUUGGAUGUGAAAGCCCAGGGCUCAACCCUGGAAUUGCAUUCAAGACUGCAUUACUUGAAUUCGGUAGAGGUGAGUGGAAUUCCCAGUGUAGAGGUGAAAUUCGUAGAUAUUGGGAAGAACACCGGUGGCGAAGGCGGCUCACUGGACCGACAUUGACGCUGAGGCGCGAAAGCGUGGGGAGCAAACAGGAUUAGAUACCCCGGUAGUCC
rnacentral:rRNA from 1 species